rnacentral:rRNA from 1 species
GACGAACGCUGGCGGCGUGCUUAACACAUGCAAGUCGAACGGAAAGGCCCUGCUUUUGUGGGGUGCUCGAGUGGCGAACGGGUGAGUAACACGUGAGUAACCUGCCCUUGACUUUGGGAUAACUUCAGGAAACUGGGGCUAAUACCGGAUAGGAGCUCCUGCUGCAUGGUGGGGGUUGGAAAGUUUCGGCGGUUGGGGAUGGACUCGCGGCUUAUCAGCUUGUUGGUGGGGUAGUGGCUUACCAAGGCUUUGACGGGUAGCCGGCCUGCGAGGGUGACCGGCCACAUUGGUACUGAGAUACGGCCCAGACGCCUACGGGAGGCAGCGGGGGGGAAUAUUACACAAUGGGGGGAAGUCUGAUGCAGCAACGCCGCGUGCGGGAUGACGGCCUUCGGGUUGUAAACCGCUUUCGCCUGUGACGAAGCGUGAGUGACGGUAAUGGGUAAAGAAGCACCGGCUAACUACGUG